rnacentral:rRNA from 1 species
CUACGGGGCGCAGCAGGCGAGAAAACUUUGCAAUGUGCGAAAGCAUGACAAGGUUAAUCCGAGUGGUUUGUGCUAAACGAACCUUUUGACAGUCCUAGAAACACUGUUGAAUAAGGGGUGGGCAAGUUCUGGUGUCAGCCGCCGCGGUAAAACCAGCACCUCAAGUGGUCAGGAUGAUUAUUGGGCCUAAAGCAUCCGUAGCCGGCUCUGUAAGUUUUCGGUUAAAUCUGUACGCUCAACGUACAGGCUGCCGGGAAUACUGCAGAGCUAGGGAGUGGGAGAGGUAGACGGUACUCGGUAGGAAGGGGUAAAAUCCUUUGAUCUAUUGAUGACCACCUGUGGCGAAGGCGGUCUACCAGAACACGUCCGACGGUGAGGGAUGAAAGCUGGGGGAGCAAACCGGAUUAGAUACCCCGGUAGUC